rnacentral:rRNA from 1 species
AUUGAACGCUGGCGGCAGGCCUAACACAUGCAAGUCGAGCGGAUGAGGGAAGCUUGCUUUCUGAUUUAGCGGCGGACGGGUGAGUAAUGCCUAGGAAUCUGCCUAUUAGUGGGGGAUAACGUUCCGAAAGGAACGCUAAUACCGCAUACGUCCUACGGGAGAAAGUGGGGGAUCUUCGGACCUCACGCUAAUAGAUGAGCCUAGGUCGGAUUAGCUAGUUGGUGAGGUAACGGCUCACCAAGGCGACGAUCCGUAGCUGGUCUGAGAGGAUGAUCAGCCACACUGGAACUGAGACACGGUCCAGACUCCUACGGGAGGCAGCAGUGGGGAAUAUUGGACAAUGGGCGAAAGCCUGAUCCAGCCAUGCCGCGUGUGUGAAGAAGGUCUUCGGAUUGUAAAGCACUUUAAGUUGGGAGGAAGAGUUGUAAGCUAAUAUCUUGCAGCUUUGACGUUACCAACAGAAUAAGCACCGGCUAACUCUGUGCCAGCAGCCGCAGUAAAAC